UUAGGAAUUUUGCGCAAUGGACGAAAGUCUGACGCAGCAACGCCGCGUGAGGGAUGAAGGCCUUCGGGUUGUAAACCUCUUUUAGUCGGGACGAAAAAAUGACGGUACCGACAGAAACAGCACCGGCUAACCCUGUGCCAGCAGCCGCGGUAAUACAGGGGGUGCAAGCGUUACUCGGAAUCACUGGGCGUAAAGAGCGUGUAGGCGGUUUAGCAAGUCUGGUGUGAAAUCCCUGGGCUCAAUCCAGGAAGUGCAUUGGAUACUGCUAGACUAGAGUAUAGGAGAGGUGAGUGGAAUUCCCGGUGUAGAGGUGAAAUUCGUAGAUAUCGGGAGGAACAACAGAGGCGAAG
rnacentral:rRNA from 1 species